CAGUGUGGGCUGCUGAGAAGGGGCAGGGUCCUCCAGCUCAUUCCUCCUGCCUCCUCCGUGGCCUCAG
ensembl:miRNA